rnacentral:sRNA from 1 species
GUAGAGAGAGGACACGUCAAGUAGGCACCUCCUGAANNCUUGAACUCCAGUCUACGUGUUUGNAGGCGACACUAGUCUGUUGCUGGAACUUUUUGUCAAGAAGACCAGCAGCCACAUUAGACUAACAAUUGGUGUAAUGUGGUUCACAGAUCAAACACUAGUGACUCAUAAGUUCACAACCACAUAUUCGCCCUCAAAGGCUCGGCCUUCGGGCACUCAUCGGUUUGUUGCAUGCCAUUGCCACUCCGUGAGAGAUCGCUACGUGAAGAUUUUCUGAUACGUGUGAUCACAGACUCGUCUAUUCUACGGUUCUUUCCUGAAAGUCGUGUUUGAGAUGUGUGUUGUGAGCUCUUUUGAGGUAAAAUAUGACCGGCCUCAUCUAGACAUAGAUGAGCUUCGGUGUUCCGUAGGUGAACCUGCGGAAGGAUCAUUAAAGAGUUCAGGGUGUCAAAGCCCGACCCUCAACCCGAUGCGUACCCGUCCUUGUUGCUUUGGCGGGCCGGUCGAAGGACCUUUCCCGGUGGCUUCGUGGUCGCUGAGAGCCCGUCAGAGACCCAUCCAAACCUCUCAACUGUGCAGUCCGAGUACCAAAACAAAUCAUCAAAACUUUCAACAACGGAUCUCUUGGUUCUGGCAUCGAUGAAGAACGCAGCGAAAUGCGAUAAGUAAUGUGAAUUGCAGAAUUCAGUGAAUCAUCGAAUCUUUGAACGCACAUUGCGCCUCUCGGUAUUCCGGGGGGCAUGCCUGUUCGAGCGUCAUUGCACCACUCAAGCUUGGCUUGGUUCUGGGCGUUCGUCCCCCGUGGACGUGCCUGAAAAUCAGCGGCGACGCGGCCCGACUCCAAGCGGCAUUGGUUCUCUUUCGCUUUGGAAGCUUCGGGCUCGAGUCCGCCGGACAAACGGUUAUGUCUCCACAAGGUUGACCUCGGAUCAGGCAGGGUUACCCGCUGAACUUAAGCAUAUCAAUAAGCGGAGGAAAAGAAACCAACCGGGAUUGCCUCAGUAACGGCGAGUGAAGCGGCAACAGCUCAAAUUUGAAAUCUGACCCCGUCGGGGCCCGAGUUGUAAUUUGCAGAGGAUGCUUCGGGCAUGGAUUCGGUCUGAGUUCCUUGGAACAGGACGCCGCAGAGGGUGAGAGCCCCGUAUGUGACCGGCCCCCGUGCCUGUGCGAAGCUCCUUCGACGAGUCGAGUUGUUUGGGAAUGCAGCUCCAAAUGGGUGGUAAAUUUCAUCUAAAGCUAAAUAUUGGCCAGAGACCGAUAGCGCACAAGUAGAGUGAUCGAAAGAUGAAAAGCACUUUGGAAAGAGAGUCAAACAGUACGUGAAAUUGUUGAAAGGGAAGCGCUUGCAACCAGACUUGCCUGCGGGCGAUCAGCCGGCAUUCGUUGCCGGUGCACUCGCCCGCAGUCGGGCCAGCAUCGGUCCGGGCGGCUGGACAAAGUCCCCCGGAAUGUGACUUCCCCCGGGGAGUGUUAUAGCCGGAGGUGCCAUGCAGCCCGCCUGGACCGAGGACCGCGCUUCGGCUAGGAUGCUGGCGUAAUGGUCGCAAGCGACCCGUCU